AAAGCAGUCCCGAACUGGCACCGGAUGGUGUGCUUGACGAAAGUCUAGGGGCUGUUUUUGUU
rnacentral:ncRNA from 12 species